GUGCUCGCUGCGGCAGCACAUAUACUAGUAUUGGAACAAUACAGAGGAGAUUAGCAUGGCCCCUGCGCAAGCAUGACAUGCAAAUUUGUGAAGCGUCCCUUAUUUUU